ensembl:lncRNA
CCCCCAUUAAGCAAAAAUCACGCGUUUUCUCUUCGCAAAUCCCCCAUUUAAGCAAAAAUCAUGCGUUUUCUCUUCGGAAAUCCCCCAUUUAAGCGAAAAUCACGCGUUUUCUCUCCGAGAAUCCAACAUUUAAGCGAAAAUCACGCGUUUUCUCAAAUCCCCCAUUUAAGCGAAAGUCACGCGUUUUCUCUUUGCAAAUCCCCCAUUUAACCAGAAAACCAAGCAUUUUCUCUUCAAGAAUCCCCCAUUUAACCCGAAAAUCACACGUUUUCUCAAAUCCCCCAUUUAAGCGAAAAUCACGCGUUUUCUCUUCGAGAAUCCCCCAUUUAACCAAAAUCACGCGUUUUCUCUUC